rnacentral:RNase_P_RNA from 5 species
CAAGCGGGCGAGAGGAUCGCGGCGCGGCAUGUCCGCGCUGAGGAAAGUCCGCCCUCCAUAGGGCACGGUGCGAGCUAACGGCUCGGCGGGGCGACCCGACGGAAAGUGCAGCAGAGAGGUGUAUUGCCGGCGCUUGUUCGCAGGCGGCGGCGAGGGUGAAACGGUGGUGUAAGAGACCACCAGCGCCGACAGUAAUGCCGGCGGCUCGGCAAACCCCACCGGGAGCAAGGUCAAACAGGCGCAUUGGGGCGGCCCGUCCCGUAAAAAGCGCCGGGUAGACCGCACGAGGGGCGUGGUGACGCGCUCCCCAGAGAGAUGAUCCUCCACGACAGAAGGCGGCUUAUCCGCCCGCUUGGGUC